rnacentral:rRNA from 1 species
AUUGAACGCUGGCGGCAUGCCUAACACAUGCAAGUCGAACGGUAACAGGUCUCUUGCUCCUGACUUGUGGCGCGGGCGGGAGUAUUACACCGAAACGUGUCCCAUCGUGGGGGGUAUCGCGUCCGAAGAUGUGCUCUUAUACCAUACGCGCUACGAGUGAGAACGGGGGGGAUCUUGGGAUCUCGCGCUCUCAGCUGACCCUAGGGCGGAUUAGCUAGUUGGUGGGGUAAAGGCUUACCAAGGCGACGAUCCGUAUCUGGUCUGAGAGGAUGAUCAGCCACACUGGAACUGAGACACGGUCCAGACUCCUACGGGAGGCAGCAGUGGGGAAUAUUGGACAAUGGGCGAAAGCCUGAUCCAGCCAUGCCGCGUGUGUGAAGAAGGUCUUCGGAUUGUAAAGUACUUUUAGUCGGGAGGAAAAGCAGUAAGCUAAUACAGAGCUGUUUUGACGUUACCGAAAGAAUAAGCACCGGCUAACUACGUG